rnacentral:rRNA from 1 species
CACGCCGUAAACGAUGGAUACUAGCUGUUGGAGGUAUCGACCCCUUCAGUAGCGAAGCUAACGCGUUAAGUAUCCCGCCUGUGGAGUACGGCCGCAAGGCUAAAACAUAAAGGAAUUGAC